AUCAUCAUUGUGAAUCAUUAUAUUUACUUAGGUUUAUAAUAAAAUCAAGCAGAUUAGUAACAUUACAGUUCUGAUAUAGCGUAGUUUCUCUGUAAAUUGCGUUUUGUCACUUCACAACAACUUGUCAUUAUUGUCUGUCACUUUAAGAACAUCCCUUGGUUUGACUUCCACUCUUCCCCCGCCAUCAGUUGUCUAGUCAUCAUGGCGGAAUGUAAAAAGUAUAUCUUAUGUCCGUCUCCAGCUUCAGUAAUGACCUCUGUCGCUAGAGCUUUGUCCCAUUCAAGGUUGAGUCAACUUGAUCAGUCUGUGUUCAAGUCGCAUACUUCUGUUUACCGGAGCAAUGUGGUACAGCCAGGCCGAAGGAGGAGGUUGUCGAGCAGCAACAGUGUUGAGUCUCUGGAUGUGAGCCCCAGUGCUGAAGCGCGAGUCUUGGUCAUCAACACCGGAGGAACUAUCGGGAUGAUGUACCAUAAUAACGUGCUGUGCCCAGAGCCUAAUGUGUUUGUGAAGGCCCUGCGAAAGCUUCCCAACCUCCAUGAUGAGCAGUAUGCCCUGCAGACCCGUAUGUAUGACUACUACAGCACAAGUGGCCCACAGGAGAACACCCUUGUCCUGCCGCUGUGCAAACAAAAUAAGAGGAUAGUGUACACUGUUUUAGAGUACAGUCCCUUGCUGGACUCUUGCAAUAUGACCACAGAUGACUGGGCUACAAUUGGGAAGGACAUUGAGAAACACUAUGAGAAGUAUGACGGUUUUGUCAUUCUCCACGGCACGGACACCAUGGCCUACACAGCAUCCGCUCUGUCCUUCAUGUGUGAGCAUCUGGGGAAGCCUGUCAUCCUCACCGGCUCCCAGGUGCCGAUCUAUGAGAUGAGGAACGAUGGAAGAGACAACCUGUUGGGGGCGCUGCUGAUCGCUGGUCAGUUUGUUAUUCCUGAGGUUUGUUUGUAUUUCCACCACAAGCUGUACCGGGGGAACCGUGUAACCAAGGUGGAUUCUGGGAGUUUCAAUGCCUUCAGUUCUCCUAACUUGGCUCCUCUGGCCAUUGCUGAAGUGGAUAUUAAAAUUAACUGGGACACGGUGUGGCGAGUGAACACAACCUCGCAGUUCAGAGUGAGCACUCUGAUGAACCGUAACGUGGGUCUGCUGAGACUCUUCCCAGGCAUCACUGCGAUGACCGUGAAGUCCUUCCUGCAGGCGCCCAUGGAGGGCAUUGUCCUGGAGACGUAUGGUAGUGGAAACGCCCCUGAUAACUGUGCUGACCUGCUUGAGGAGUUCCGAAAUGCCACAGAGAGGGGUGUGAUCAUGGUCAACUGCACCCAGUGUCUGAGGGGUUCUGUCACCACAUCGUACGCCACUGGAAAGGCCUUGAGUGACGCAGGACUGGUGGCAGGCUGUGACAUGACUCCUGAGGCUGCCCUGUGCAAGCUGUCCUACGUGCUGGCCAGGACGGACCUCAGCAUAGAGGCCAAAAGAAAGAUGCUGAGUCAGAACCUGCGGGGAGAGAUGAUCGCUGACCUGCAGGGGGCCAAGCUCACUCUGAGUGACAGUCGCUUCAUCCAGGUCAUCGCCAAGUCCCUGAGCAUCAGCUGUAAGGAGGAGCUAGAAGCCGUCCGGGAUGCUCUGACACCCACCUUAGCUUGUGCCGCUUCUAAGAUAGGAGACUUGGAGGCCUUGGAUGCCAUAAAGGAGAUGGGCAGUAACUUAAGUCUGGGGGACUAUGAUGGACGUACCCCUCUGCACAUCGCUUCCUGUGAGGGCCACCUCAAUGUGGUGCAGUAUCUACUGAGCCAGGGCGCCACUGUCUACGCCAAAGAUCGCUAUGGGGACACACCCCUGCGCAAUGCUGUGCGCUUCAGACACAAAGAGGUGGUGAAGCUGCUGAGAAAGACUGGAGCUCAUUUCUCCAGGGAUGAGUUGGAGGAUGCCGGCUCAGAGCUGUGCAGUCUGGCAGCCAGUGCUGACAUCAAGGGCCUGGAGAUGUGGCACCUGGCUGGGGGAGACCUAGACACGCCAGGCUACGACGGGCAGACGCCGAUGGAGGUGAUGCACAAUUGAGAGCAUCCUGUUGGACUGUAUAUCACCACCUGGUACGGCAACUGCACGAUCAUCAAGGACAACAACCACCCGAGCCAGUGCCUGUUCAUCCAGAAGUUGAGGCUAAGGCUGUGGGGAAUGAAGUUGUGAUUGACUUCAUACACCAGGUCAGCCAGUCCCACGCCCAGAAUGGAGAAUACAUUGAGUUCUCAGCCUGUCCAAAAGAAUCCUGAAGACUAAGAUAGAUCCUCAACUCUUUUACCUCUCCAUCCAUCCCCAUCACUCUCCAUAUCUCUUUCCAUUUCACUCUCUUACACUGGACAUUUGCACAAGCUUGCAGAUUUUAUUUAGAUUCAUCCAAACCAUUUUACAAUUGAUAUGUUUGCGAUAAUCUCAUUUACUGUUGCUUAACUGUAGUUGUAAAAGCACUAGUAGCACAACAUUGGAUGUCAAGUAAUAUGGAUGCACUGUGCCUAGAACGGGCAGCACUAUAUCUGUUUGCUUUGUAUGUACCACAGUAUAUGAUGCAUGUGGAGCAAUUCACUCGGUUUGCAUUAAGAGUAUUAUCAGUGAUCAUUGGAAGCACAGGGUAGAAUGCUGUACUUUAUGCUAGGCACUUGAUGGGUAGAAUGCUGUACUUUAUGCUAGGCACUUGAUGGGUAGAAUGCUGUACUUUAUGCUAGGCACUUGAUGGGUAGAAUGCGGUGCCUUUAGAUGUACUUUAUGAAAUGCUUAGUGUAGAGUGCAAUUUAUUCUAAACUGAAAUCCUUGUGAAAUCCUUCUAAACUGAAAUCAUAGUCUGAUGACAAAAAAAUAGAACCGUUUGCCCAUAAUGACCAUCGUUAUGUUUGGAGGAAAAAGGGCGAUGCUUGCAAGCCGAAGAACACCAUCCCAACCGCGAAGCACGUGGGUGGCAGCAUCAGGUUGUGGGCGUGCUUUGCUGUAGGAGGGACUGGUGCGCUUCACAAAAUAAAUGGCAUCAUGAGGAUGGAAAAUUAUGUGGAUAUAUUGAAGCAACAUCUCAAGACAUCAGUCAGGAAGUUAAAGCUUGGUCGCAAAUGAGUCUUCCAAAUGGACAAUGACCCCAAGCAUACUUCCAAAGUUGUGGCAAAAUGGAUUAAGGACAACAAAGUCAAGGUAUUGGAGUGGCUAUCCUAACUGACCUAAAACAGGGAAUUUUUACAUGAUUAAAUGUCAGGAAUUGUAAAAAACCGAGUUUAAAUGUAUUUGGCUAAGGUGUAUGUAAACUUCCGACUUCAACUGUGUAUAUAUAUAUAUAUCCUUCUACAUAUACAUAUAUAUAUAUAUAUAUAUAUAUAUAUAUAUAUAUAUAUAUAUAUAUAUAUAUAUAUAUAUAUAUAUACAUACAUACAUACAUACAUACAUACAUACAUACAUACAUACAUACAUACAUACAUACAUAUAUAUACAUAUAUAUAUAUAUGUUCACUCUCCUCCGUGUUUGUGUUGCAAAUUUUCUUCUACACAAGCGCUAAGAUUCGUCCAAUUGACAUAAAAUAUUGCCAUCAAGAGUGUGAUAGAGCAUACUGAAACAAUAGAAACAUUUCUAUCGUCACAUGAUAUACAGUGCCUUGCGAAAGUAUUCGGCCCCUUUGAACUUUGGGACCUUUUGUGGGACUAAUUUGGGGCUCUGGGGCUUGAACUGACAAUUUAUUUAUGGCUUGGUGAUAACCUACAGCCUGCAUUCCAUAGACAAGAUGUGGCGUGUGACUCAAGAUGGAGAUAGCCUGGAGGAGUAGAACAAAACCCCUUAUUGUUUCUAAUCAUCCUUGCAUCUGGGAAACUAAACUGUGUUGGGGGUAAAACAAGAUGAACCCAAGGUGGCUUACGAUGCCCCGAUCUGCAUGGGAGGGGUGGAAUCAGCCAUGACUAAGCAUUUUUAGGCCUACUAUAUAAGACCUCUGUUUUUUCAUUAUUGUGAAGGCUCUCAGUCCAACACUCGGCUGUGGGGUCGACAGCGUCAUUAUUGCAAUAAUUAAUCAAUAUUAAAUAAAGAUGAUUGUUUUGAAGAAA